UCUGGGCUUUUGCUGUCACAACCUGUAUUAGCUCUGUGAGUAUGACACACACGGACUGGCACUUAAUUUCAGGCGAAUUUUACUUGCGGAUGAUACGAGGCGCUCGUGAGCAGAAAAAUCGUGACUCUUCCACAGUAGCUUGCAUUACAGCUAGUGAGUUAACAGGUCUGAGCACCAUCAGACAGAGCUGCCAACAGACCAGGGGCGUCACGAAGCGGUAGGCCAGCGUCGGCUGCACCCAGCGCCGUGAGGCGAAACAAAGGGCAGUACUGCCACCAUCCAGAAAAGGCUCUGAAGGCGCAACGCAAACAGAGACGACCGCGAUUUAAGGUUUCCUGGUAUUCCGGUUUCCUGGAAUAGGCUCCGGGCUCCCCGAGUCCCUGAACUGGAUAAAUGGCUAUAGAAGGCUGAUAAUGAUGUAAGCCAAGAUGUAGCUGUGGUGAUUCAGAGGCGAUGUGCUGCUUCACCACCUCACAGAGGCGACGUGCUGCUUCACCACCUCACAGAGGCGACGUGCUGCUUCACCACCUCACAGAGGC